rnacentral:sRNA from 1 species
UUUUUGUAAAUUCGUUAUACUGUUCUAAAAUCCUUUUGAAUUCGUUAUACUGUUUCGUGAUAGAUUUGCUUAUGUGAAUUCGUUAUACUAUUUCGUAAUAGAUUUUGGUUCUGAUUUAGUGUUUACCUCUUUUGCAUAUGCUUUUGUGAUAGAUCUAUGCCACUUACGCUUUAAAACGAUUUGUAAACCAUGUUAACCACUUUUUAAAGCUUUUAAAAUCCCUUGUAAAUUAUUCUAUGCUACUUACUUACGCUUUAAAACGAUUUGUAAACCAUGUUAACCACUUUUCAAAGCUUUUAAAAUCCCUUGUAAGUUAUUCUAUGCUACUUACUUACGCUUUAAAACGAUUUGUAAACCAUGUUAAUCACUUUUCAAAGAUUUUAAAAUCCCUUGUAAAUUAUUCUAUGCUACUUACUUACUCUUUAAAACGAUUUGUAAACCAUGUUAACCACUUUUCAAAGCUUUUAAAAUCCCUUGUAAAUUAUUCUAUGCUACUUACUUACUCUUUAAAACGAUUUGUAAACCAUGUUAACCACUUUUCAAAGCUUUUAAAAUCCCUUGUAAAUUAUUCUAUGCUACUUACUUACUCUUUAAAACGAUUUGUAAACCUUGCUUCUCUCUGUAGUGACAGUGUUUUUGUGGGUGUUGAUUUUGUUAUUAUUUAUCCUAUCAGGUUAUAAUGCUAGAAUUGUAUUCUGUUUGUGGCUUGUGGAAGUUGACAAACAAUAUGACUUGGGAAUUUGAAUUAGACAUUGAAUUGGGAGCUUCUUUAGUGCUCAUUGAUGAGCACAUUACCUAUCACGCGUUGGUUGAUAUUCUUGUAGAGGAUUUUCAAAUAGAUAGUUCAACCAAUUCUUUGAAGCUUAGUUACAA